UGGGGAAUAUUGCACAAUGGGCGCAAGCCUGAUGCAGCCAUGCCGCGUGUAUGAAGAAGGCCUUCGGGUUGUAAAGUACUUUCAGCGGGGAGGAAGGGAGUAAAGUUAAUACCUUUGCUCAUUGACGUUACCCGCAGAAGAAGCACCGGCUAACUCCGUGCCAGCAGCCGCGGUAAUACGGAGGGUGCAAGCGUUAAUCGGAAUUACUGGGCGUAAAGCGCACGCAGGCGGUUUGUUAAGUCAGAUGUGAAAUCCCCGGGCUCAACCUUGGAACUGCAUCUGAUACAGGCAAGCUUGAGUCUCGUAGAGGGGGGUAGAAUUCCAGGUGUAGCGGUGAAAUGCGUAGAGAUCUGGAGGAAUACCGGUGGCGAAGGCGGCCCCCUGGACGAAGACUGACGCUCAGGUGCGAAAGCGUGGGGAGCAAACAGG
rnacentral:rRNA from 1 species